GAGAUCAAAGUUUUACAUGGGAAUACAUUGGAAAAAUCUUCUCCAGAACCACUGGGCCAAGAAAGAUGAAACUGAUGUAGAAACAUCUUCAGAGAAGACGAAUGUCACCUUCGUCAGAAGCAGAUUUUUACUGCCAGGCUGGCUUUGACCAAAAAGGUUUUGAGAUCAAAUUUAUAUCAGACUAUAAAUUAAAACAUCCAAAUGGCUAGCUCAGAUGUGGAAGUGGAAUCGGACCCUUUUAGUUGGGAAUUCAAUGGAAAUUCAUUUGACAGUGA